rnacentral:rRNA from 1 species
CGGGUGAGUAAUGUAUGGGGAUCUGCCUGAUGGCGGGGGAUAACUACUGGAAACGGUAGCUAAUACCGCAUAAUGUCUACGGACCAAAGCGGGGGACCUCCGGGCCUCGCGCCAUCAGAUGAACCCAUAUGGGAUUAGCUUGUAGGUAAGGUAACGGCUUACCUAGGCGACGAUCCCUAGCUGGCCUGAGAGGAUGAUCAGCCACACUGGGACUGAGACACGGCCCAG